GACGAACGCUGGCGGCGUGCUUAACACAUGCAAGUCGAACGAUGAAGCCGGAGCUUGCUCUGGUGAAUUAGUGGCGAACGGGUGAGUAACAGGUGAGUAACCUGCCCUUGACUCUGGGAUAACUGCUAGAAAUGGUAGCUAAUACCGGAUACGACCCUCGGCGGCAUCGCCAGGGGGUGGAAAGAAUUUCGGUCAAGGAUGGACUCGCGGCCUAUCAGCUAGUUGGGGAGGUAACGGCUCACCAAGGCGACGACGGGUAGCCGGCCUGAGAGGGUGACCGGCCACACUGGGACUGAGACACGGCCCAGACUCCUACGGGAGGCAGCAGUGGGGAAUAUUGCACAAUGGGCGCAAGCCUGAUGCAGCAACGCCGCGUGAGGGAUGACGGCCUUCGGGUUGUAAACCUCUUUUAGUAGGGAAGAAGCGAAAGUGACGGUACCUGCAGAAAAAGCACCGGCUAACUACGUGCCAGCCGCCGCAGUAA
rnacentral:rRNA from 1 species